rnacentral:rRNA from 1 species
AUACGUAGGGGGCGAGCGUUGUCCGGAAUGAUUGGGCGUAAAGGGCGCGUAGGCGGCCCGGUAAGUCUGGAGUGAAAGUCCUGUUUUUAAGAUGGGAAUUGCUUUGGAUACUGUCGGGCUUGAGUGCAGGAGAGGUAAGUGGAAUUCCCAGUGUAGCGGUGAAAUGCGUAGAGAUUGGGAGGAGCACCAGUGGCGAAGGCGACUUACUGGACUGUAACUGACGCUGAGGCGCGAAAGUGUGGGGAGCAAACAGGAUUAGAUACCCUGGUAGUCCACACUGUAAACGAUGAAUGCUAGGUGUAGGGGGUAUCGACCCCUUCUGUGCCGCAGUCAACACAAUAAGCAUUCCGCCUGGGGAGUACGGCCGCAAGGUUGAAACUCAAAUGAAUUGGCGGGG